rnacentral:tRNA from 1 species
GCCUGGGUGGCUCAGUCGGUUGAGCAUCUGACUUUGGCUCAGGUCAUGAUCUCACGGUUCAUGGGUUCAAGCCCCACAUCUGGCU